UAUAUAACAAACACAACUCUCAUUCAAUAUUUUAUUAGUACAUAUAGAUAUCUAUAACAAACACAGGUUUUUCAAUAUUUAUCAGUACAUAUAGAUAGAUAUCUAUUACAAACACAGCUAUCUCUCUCCUAAUCUAAAGUUCUAGCAAUAAAUUGUGUAGUCAUGAUUCUACCUUUUUAUAAGAAAUUAAUCAUUCAAAUAAGAACUAGAAAUGUAUAUAUUACAGGCUCUAACGUUUGAGCCAGGUAAUAUGUAACCGUAUGUUCUACAUUUCCAGAUUAUAUCACUGUCAACACAUACACACACAAAAUUAAAUCAAUCUGAAUGGUACUUUGUACUUUGUAUCUGAGCCCACAUUUUUUAAUUUUGUUUGGUACAUUUGAAAUUUAAAUGCGCUCUCUAUUUUCCCUCAAAAGCUAAUGAUCCGAAACUCUUAUCUAUUCUUUUUUUUCUCUUAACACAAAAUUGUUGUCAUUGCUAUAUAACAUUUGAAAAGGUAGGUUGAGAAUUUUUAUUUAUUAUUACAUUUCAGUUUCAAACAACUUUAAUGCAACAUUUGUAAAAAUUGUGACAUUUAAUGUUAAAAAAAAAUAUUAAUAUUUUUACAUUUUGUAAUAUCCAUUAAUAAUCAUAGCUUGAUCACAUUAUUUAGUUUAUUAAAAGUUUUGAUUUGUACCUUCAGUACAAUCCGAGUACAGUAUGUCUGUAAUUGUAGGUAGACCAAACACCUGAACCAAAAGCAUAUUAUAGUAAAGUUCUCCUUCCAGACCUUGCGAUCUAUAUGGCAGUAGAUGUUGAGAUCAUCUGUUUACUUAUCCAACGGUUAAAGAAUAGGGUGUCAUGUAGCCAGCACAAUGACCAACCGCCUUUAAUUUUCCAAAGUCAGGUACCCAUUAGAGUUGGGUGGACUAUAGGGCGCCCUAAAUAUUCUCAAAUUCAAAAUCCUAGUAUUUACCGAGAUUCGAGCACCUGGUUUGGAGCCAAGCGAUUUACCUUAAGCCACUAGCCCCUAGCCUAUUAUAGCCAUUUACUGUCUUAGAUUGAUAGUCAUUUACUUUAUAAAGUGGAUUUGUAUCUGGAAUCUAGAAUUUGUUAAUUAGUUGUCAUUGUAUGGCAUAGAGCUAUUACAUGAAACAUAGUCUAUAGGCUAGAUUUUUUAAUUAUAAUUCUCUCUCUCUCUGUCUCUCUGUCUCUCUGUGUGUGUGUGUGUGUGUCUCUCUCUCUCUCACUCAAUUUUUGCCAAUUUUUUGCUUACAUUGAAAUAUACAUGGACCUAUAUAAUUGAAAUAAAAUAGUAUGCAUUGUAUUUUAUUAGAAAGACUACUCGUUAUGAACGUCUUAAAAGAAAUCAGCUCUUCAACUAAUUGAGAUGCUAUUCAUACAGACAUUGAAAGUUAGGACAUCUCUAGUGAUGAUGAAUAAAGAUUCCUCAGCAGUCGCCAGUUUAUUGUCUGCAGAAACAUUACUUAUAUAGAAAUGGAAUCAUAUUUUGUGUGUGAAAUAUUUCACAUUAGUAGACCAAUGUUACAUGAAUUAGCAAUUGUAUUAUAAAUAUUUUGUAUACCGUAGACUCUCUUUGUGAAGACUUAUUGGAUAUAAAAUUUUUGUUCUUUAAUUUUUAACACAUUCAUAUAAACUACUUGAAGUAUUACAAUACGAAUUAAAUUGUUUUAGUGCUCCACCCUCCACCAUUAUUGUAGCGAAAAUUAAACUUAUGAUGUAAGUAUCCUUCUCAUGUAUUUAUACUAGUAAUUAUUACUUAUGUCUAAAUGUAAAAGUUUGCUAUAUAUGAUUUCAUUUCUUACGCACAUGUGUUGAUCCUGACAGAUACUUCUGAUGGUCUGUUACUUUUGAUCCCCUUACUGUCAAUUGCAAGAUUCUGAGCUAUCGAGAAAAAGAGAAUAAAAGACAAAAAACACUUGGCUCGAUCGGUCUUCCAGCAGAUUGGCUUUUAAAAUGGGAGUUGCUGCUCUCACUAAAAGGCUAACAGACUUGUUUACUAUGUGUUGGGAAAGAUGUACUAGCCUGCCAGAACUUCGAGAUGCCACUAUCCAUGUACAAAAAGAAAAGAAAAUGAUAGACUCCAAUCUGUAGCGUAUACAUGUAUACGUGUACGAUAAAAAGCAAAGAAGUAUCUUGCAUCUGAAAUAGUAAGUAAACGAACUAAAUUUUAAAAUAAACUUUCAGAUAAAGACGUGUAAAUAACAAUGCUAAUAUAACCAUAUUUGUUACUACAGUAAAAUAUAUCCAUUGUGCAAUAAUAGUUUGUGUUUUAAAAUGUAGCACACAUUUGACGCAAGGCCUUUGAGAUACUUGAUAAAAAGAAUAGGAUUGGUCUGUGUGGCUAAAAAUGAGAGAUUUUUUCCCAUUAGACCAAAGGUUUCCCGAAUCACAGUCAGUCUUAAGCCGAUGCUCGGUUCGAUAAUAAUGGCGAGACUGUAAAAUUAUCCAUAUUGAAGAGUCUGAAAUAUAAAGCUACAACCAGUGAAUCAUUUUUUAUAAUAGCAGUGAAACAUUCAUUUUUAAUAUAUAAGUGAAACAUUUAAUUUAUAAUAGCAGUUACACAUUAAUUUAAACCAAAAAACCAGUAAAACAUGUCGUUAAGGAAAUUUGUCUUACAAUUUGUGCAUUAUAAGCAAAACAUUAUAACUAUAAAAGUAAAAAUGUACAUUCACACCAGACUCACUCAUAAUUUACAAGUGAAAAGUUUAUAUCAGAUUGUUUCUAUUUAAUGACUUCAUAGCCAGGGGAACAAAACAGUGUGUCUGUCUUUGGUAUCAGUGUCUUGUAUCUCUUUUGUGAUGGUAAUAUCACAAAAUCCUGACCCAAGGGUUUAUUUUUAUUUCUAGAAUCUUAGCUUUUUUAUGGAUGUUCGUCUCAAACAGAUGCCUAAAUGGUUUUUUGCCAAUGAUUUUACCAGCAUCAUUUAGGGUUCUAUGAAGUUUAUUUUUAUUUUUAAUGUUCAGAUUGCCAUACCAUCACGACAAUAUUAACCAUUUUAAUACACACUUCAAGAAUUUUCAAGUCGCCUGUUAUAUUAACAGGUUCUAAUUAAAUAGUGAGAUCAAUAUUGUUUUUACUCUGUCCGAUCUUUUUAUUCCGAAUUGUUUUUUCUUCAUUUAAUUUGCAUAACUUUCCAAUACAAAAAAAAAAACAAAAAAAACAAAAAAAAAAAAAAACACCAAACAAACAGGAACUAGAAGUAGUAUUUUUAUGUUUACCAUGUACUUGACAUGACAAUCAUUUAGUCAUAUUUAACUAGGAACUUCUAAUCAUACAAUAGACACCGUUCUGUACUUCCUGAGCAUACUUAAAACACAAAUGAUCCACUUUGACUGUGACACAAAGAGACAAUAGUUCAACUUCGAGUAGUAAGUGAUGGUUAAAUUAGUGUCAUUAAAUUUCCCGAUAAUGGUGUGGGUUUUGUUUUAUAAAGUAUAUAUUUAUUAUUAUUUUAGUCUAACACUGAAUUUCUGAUACAAUUAUCAACUGGUAGGCAUGUUGGGAACUAAUAUAAUAUUAUCUACGGGUCAUUUGUACUGGAAUAUAACAAAACUGUGCGAAAUUUUAAUCAGCGUUUUAAAGAAUUAUAAUAAAUGAAAGUGAUAAAAUGUCUAAAUAUUUUAUUUCGUAUUCAGGCAAAGAGGAAGUUAAGUAAAAAAGAGUAAAGUUCCUUUUUCAGAUCUUGCUAUCAAUAGGGCAGAUGAUGUAAAUAUCAUCUGUUUCUGUGGCCUACGGUUUUACGGGGGUGUCAGGUGGCAAGCACAAAGACCAACCGCCUUUACUCUUCACAAACUAAUGUCAGGUACUCAUUCGAGCUGGGUGGACUCAGAGGCGCCCAAGAUCCCGAAAUGGAAAAUUCCAGCUUUUACCAAGAUUCGAACUCUUGGACCUCAGAUUUACUGCUCAGCCAUCAUGAGGACAUAUUUAGUGUAUCCUAUGAUUGACGUAACUUUAAUAAACCCACUGGAGCCUAUUGCAUUUAUUGUUUCCUAUUUCAUGUUGUAUAAUACAUCUUGAUAUAAUGAUCCAAGUAAUAACAAUAGUUCUUCUUGCAGAACAAAAAUAGAAGAGCGUCUCAAUAGCAUCCAUUAAAUUGGACCCCGCAACUUGUUGCAUUGAUAAUUUAUCAAGUAAGAAGAAGUAUUUUAGAAUUCGGAGUCAGUUGUGUCUGAUAAUGGUUGAUUAUCUUAAAGUUAAACACUAAAUGUAGAAUGUUGGUAAGUUGCAAUAUUAAGCUACUGAACAGAAUUAUGAUUUUUUUUUUUAGAAUUUAUGAAUUUAGAUCCUCUUCUGUGUGGUACAUUGUUUUCUAAAUUCAAUAAUGUAUUUCACUUUAUUUAUCUAUUAUAUAAUUAGAAGCGUUUAGUGCAACUUCCACUAUAGGAGAUCAUCCGACUGCAUGUUUCAAAAAAUUCCUCGGACAUUGCUGUCAUGUUUAUUUACUUAAUAAAUAAAUACUGCUUCCACUAACAUAGUAAAACACAAAUGGUUGAAUUAUUAUAUCGCCAGAUUCCGUCACCAUAAGACUAUGGUUCAUCUCAGGGAAAUUAGGUUAUUGCCUGCUUUGGUCAGAACAAUUGUUUCCCACUCAGCAAUUUCUCCUCUCUGCGCAGCUGAUCUAUCCAAAGGAAUGGCAAGUGCCGAUACAGUUUGGGAACAGCGACAUCGCCAGCUUCGCCUGGCUCUAUCACUGAUUAUAAGUGAUUCAAUAAAGUGAAUACGUGUGAGAGACAGAGUGUGGUGUGUGUGCCGAACGUCGCAUGAUGUUUUCGGGGGUGGUCCUCCAAAAGAAUGAACUACGUAUACCAAGAAUUGAAAUGACAAUAAGGCCAAUACGAGGAAAGCGUCAGCAGGCACAUCAUAGUAUAGCCACACUUUCAUGAAGUACCCCAAAGCAGUAGACACCAGGCUCCAGACAUUACCAGUGACAGAUCUUUGUGGAGACAGCUUGCUGCCCAAUGCGUAGAAAGGCGCUGGAGGAUUUAAGUCUGAGUAGCAAUGUAUUCAAUCCACAAAAAAAAAAGCUAUUUGUUGUUUUCGUUGUUCAUAAACGGACAUUUUAAAAUGUAAUUUCUGAUUUUAUUACGUAUCUGGUACAACAAAUAAUGUUUGUUUCAUUGGCAUUAAAAAUUUUAAACUUUGAACGUGAAUUCUGUCUUAAAAAUUAACACAAAUAUGAAUGUUACAACUCUUAAAAUGCAAAAAAAAAGUAUUUUCCAAAGAAAAAAUGGGUAAAGAUAAACAAAUUAUGAAACAAAGACGAAUCCCCAGCAGGGCACGAACGCUGAACUUCCAGUUAGGCAACAAGCCUAAGUGGGCAAUCAAAAAAUAAUUUUUGCAAUCGGAAGCAUUAGCUGUUCACAUGCAGACCAUUCGACCUCACAUCAACAAUAAUAACAUCAAUUGACAAAUAUAUGAAAGCACGAGGUCUAGAGAUUGAUAGUGGUAUGCUAAUGGUAUCCAUUACACAAUAUAAACCUUCAAAUAUUUCGACAUAUACUAAAUUUCUUAUUGUGACAAUAGUUUAUCUCUCCAUUUUUCUAGGUCCAAAAUUGUACAUGUAUUCUGUUUACUUGAAAGAGUAAAAUUCUAUUUAUGACUCCCAGGUGGGUAGACCUACACUUAGACAGCACUGCAACUAAGAACAAAAAGAACAUCUUUUAGCAAGUACGUCUUACACGUUAUUAACUAUAUAUAUAUUUAGUUUCAUCAUUAUCCUUUCAACCUCCAUUUGAUAUUCUACGAUUAUGUGGCAUUUUACGUUUCGAGAGAUGAUCUAUUCCCUUUGCAACUUCUUGUGUGACUAAAGAGGCCAAUCCUUGAUACACAGCUGCGAUCGCAGGUUGGGCAUAUAUAAUCACCAGGCGCCGUUGCAUUUUCACCCUUCUUUCUGCUUCUGUUGUGUAUGAUUUCUGCAAUCCGUGACCCUUCCUUUAUGCUCUCUCUCCAUGUGGAUCUAUCCAGUGCUAGCUCUUCCCAGUUCCCAGUGUCGAUUUUGACGAGCUUCAUGUCGCGUUUGCAUACAGCCGUAUAACGUAAAAGUGGGCGAUCAGCGGCUCUCCUGCCUUCUAUUAGGAUGUCCUUUGGAAGUAGACCUACUGGCAUUCUACGAACGUGGCCAAACCAGCCAAGGCGUCUGCUGCUGAUAACAGAGCGGAUGUCCUGGCACCCUGCUCUUUGUAGCACUUCCUCAUUUGGUUAUCUUAUCUUGCCACCUUAUUUUAAAGAUCCGCCUUAGGCAUCGAUUCACUUUCUGGAUUAUAUAGCAAACAUUUUAUUUACUUUUUCAAUUAAAUCAUACAUAGCAUUAUAACGAUAGCUGGCAUCAAUUUGAAAAGAAAAUGUAUUUGAAACUAAC